UCAAAAUGAAAUGAAGCCUUGCAGUUCAUAUAGAAAUAUUACAGUUGACUUUACAUGCCAGUUCUGGUUUAUUGUCCAAACAGUUAGGCGGUGUUAUUAUGAAUUGCUGUGUUUUAAUGUUUUAAAAUGUUAUUAGAAAUAAUAAUGGCCGCUCUUAAAAUUCUAAAGCCAGCCAACAUCGUUUAAAACAGUUAUACGUCGGGUAAUCACGAUUUCAUCAUCGGAUUCCUAGAAUUUAAAAAAUGAGGCAACAUAACAAAAUUAUACUCAACUAGGAGAAAUUUAUUAUCAAAUAUAUAAAUAAUAUCAAUUAUAAUUUAAAUAUAAAUUCGAAUAUUAAUGUUAUGCAUGCAGUAUUAAUAGUUACCGAUGCCAACAAAACAAAAUAUCGCUUGGUAUGUACUUUGCUAGCUACAGUAAACGAAAACAUUUAAU